rnacentral:pre_miRNA from 1 species
CAACGUCUGCAGGCUGGCUGGCCCCUGGCUGGGUUGGGAGAAUAUUUCUUUGAAAGGCUCACCCUCAAGCAUGGCUCGGAGC